ensembl:snRNA U1 U1 spliceosomal RNA
GCACCUUCAUGUUAGAAAUUUGCCUCAAUUCCUUACCCAUUGCACUCCAUAUGUGCUGACUGCUGUGAUUUCCCCAAAUGUGGGAAACUCAACUGAAUAAUUUGUGGUAGUGGGGGACUGCGUUUGCAAUUUCCCCUG